UGGUGGAGGCGGAGGUGACAUGCUGAAGAAUUCAGCGGAUCUGAGCUCGCCAGAUGUAGACGACGAAUCGGAGCCGCCAACAGGACUCCCGGAUACUACGGCGGAGGCGUAGGCAGCGUUUGAGGUGUCACCCCCAAACUCUCCAGCAUUAGGGUUCAUCAACUUCAUUAAAACUGCCGUCUGGUUUAAUAAUUGCUCUUGGCCCUGCCAUAUUCCAGCCGCCGAGGGGGCUCCUACAGGCAACGGCAUAGGUGGAGGCAACGGCGACACGCCCCAGAAUGCAGCGGAUCUGAGCUCACUAAAUGCAGAUGACAAAUCGGAGCCACCAACAGCACUCCUGGAUAUGACGGCGGAGGCGUAGGUAGCGUUUGAGGUGUCAUCGCCAAACUCUCCAUUACCAUAGAUUCUCUGCUUCUUUAAAGAUUUCGAGCGGUUUAGACCUUGCACGCUUUUUCGCUUUGGCGAAACUUGAUGCUGGCAUAUUCCAGCCACCGAUGGGGCUCCUAGAGGCGACGGCAGAGACGGAGGCGGUGGUGACACGCUGAAGAAGGCAGCAGAUUUGAGCUCGUCGGACGCAAAUGACAAAUUAGAGCAGCCGACGGGACUCUUGGAUACUACGGCGGAGGCGGAGGCGGAGGCAGCGUUUGAGGUGUCACCCCCAAACUCUCCAGCAUUAGGGUUCAUCGACUUCAUUAAAAUUGCCGUCUGGUUUAAUAAUUGCUCUUGGCCCUGCCAUAUUCCAGCUGCUGAUGAGGUUCCUAGAGUCAACGACAAAGAUGGAGGCAGCGGCGACUCGCCCCAGAAUGCAGCGGAUCUGAGCUCGCCAGAUCCGGACGACGAAUUGAAGCCGCCGACGGGACUCCUAGAUACGACGGUGGAGGCAGAGGCAGCGGUUGAGGUGUCACCCCCAAACUCUCCAUUACCAUAGAUUCUCCGCUUCUUUGAAGAUUCCGAGUGGUUGAGACCUCGCACGCUUUUUAGCUUACGACAAUUUUCUACUUCUUUCCAUAGCUUUUUCAAUUUCGAUAGGUCUGACAUCGUCUCCAAGGAAGGGCAAUAGAAGACUCUUAGAGAGCAAAGGGAUCCCAAUUCUUCAAGGCCACGAAUCUCGACUAAUGAAAAACAAUCUCGCAAACUUACCUUAUGUAGAUUCUUCAUGUGUGACAGAUCAAGUACUUCUGGAAGGAACUCACAUCCAUCCAUCUCUAAUAAUCUCAACCUUUUCAUUUCCAGCUGCAAGGGUGUGUCCAACUUUUUAAGCUCACAAAUCUCCAUACGGAGUUCCUCCGACUCCGCCUCAAAUAUACUAGAAAAUUCUAGCGAGCAUCUGUAGAAUGUCAAGAUUGACAAGUUUCUCAAAUUGGACAAAUCCGGUGAUGGUGUGGUCGUCAGAUCUCGAAGUUGUAACUCCCUUAAACUAGAUGGGAGCUGGGGUAAGAAUUCCCCAUUUUUGCAGGACAAUUUUAGUGUUCGAAGUUGAGAUAGGGUACCGAUGUUAGUGGGAAUAGUGGUGACAAGUGUUUCGUGUUGAGAUAGGGCACCAAUUCUAGUGGGAAUAAGGAGGGCUAUCCCAUAUCCCUCACGAGAACGACACCGUAUAUCCUCAUCAUAUUCCUCAAGAGCAAGGUAUUCCUCAAGGUCUUCCUCCUGCUGAAGUUCCUCCGGGUCAUAUGUCUCCAUCUCUGCGGAGGAACACCAGCAACUUUUCGGGCCCCAUCUCAGACAAGUCAAACUUUGGGGAAGCUCCGGCAAUUGUUUAAGCUCAGGACAUUUUUCUAGCUUAAGUGUUUGGAGAUUAGAGAGGCAACUUAUUGAGAUGGGUAAUCCGGAUAUACGUGUGUUUGACAAGUCUAGGAUCUUCAAACGGGACAGUUUCCCAAUUUCUUUAGAAAUUUCGCCGGUCAAAUUGCAACAUCCUCGAGCAUCUAACUCUUCAAGCUUCUCCAUCAGCCUGAUCACACUUGGUAAUUCU
rnacentral:lncRNA from 1 species